UACAGAGGUCUCAAGCGUUGUUCGGAUUCAUUGGGCGUAAAGGGUGUGUAGGUGGCGCGCUAAGUCGGGGUGUGAAAAUUUCGGAGCUUAACUCCGAAACUGCAUUCGAUACUGGCGUGCUUGAGGACUGGAGAGGAGACUGGAAUUCCUGGUGUAGCGGUGGAAUGCGCAGAUAUCAGGAGGAACACCGGUGGCGAAGGCGGGUCUCUGGGCAGUAACUGACGCUGAGGAGCGAAAGCGUGGGGAGCGAACAGG
rnacentral:rRNA from 1 species